rnacentral:rRNA from 1 species
UACGUAGGAGGCAAGCGUUGUCCGGAAUUACUGGGCGUAAAGCGCGUGUAGGUGGUGGGACAAGUCUGCUGUGAAAGCGCCUGGCUUAACCGUGGAAGUGCAUGGGAAACUGGAAAGCUUGAGUACUUAAGAGGAUCGCGGAAUUCCCGGUGUAGAGGUGAAAUUCGUAGAUAUUCGGAGGAACACCAGUGGCGAAGGCGGCUCACUGGUCCGGUACUGACGCUGAGGUGCGAAAGCGUGGGGAGCAAACAGG